rnacentral:rRNA from 1 species
GACGAACGCUGGCGGCGUGCUUAACACAUGCAAGUCGAACGACGUGGCGAACGGGUGAGUAACGCGUAAUCAACCUGCCCUUCAGAGGGGGACAACAGGUGGAAACGACUGCUAAUACCGCAUACUGAAGGAGGGGAUUGCGUCGGAUUAGCUAGUUGGAGGGGUAACGGCCCACCAAGGCGGUGAUCAGUAGCCGGUCUGUGAGGAUGAACGGCAACAGUGGGACUGAGACACGGCCCAGACUCCGACGGGAGGCAGCAGGGGGGAAUCUUCCGCAAGGGACGAAAGUCUGACGGAGCAACGCCGAGUGAGUGAUGACGGCCUUCGGGUUGUAAAGCUCUGUUAAUCGGGACGCGGUACCGGAAUAGAAAGCCACGGCUAACUACGUGCCAGCAGCCGCGGUAAUAC